GCAGCAUACUUGGGCUAAGCAAUUUUAACAGAGAGAUUAACCAUGGCACCAUGUGCAGGAGUUUGGCCUCAUGAAAAUGAUACUCCAGACAAUAAUCUACUACACAUACAGCAAUCCAGGCUACCCCUGCUUCUCUAACUAGACUAGACACAGGCUGCCAGUGAACAUACUGAAAGCUGCCGAGAUCUAAGGUGGAGCCAUGCUUGGUGAACCAGGUAGGAAAAAAACAACACCUUGAUCCUUUCAGUGUCCCCUGAGCAGCAUUAUGGCAAAAGAUCUGUCAUUCAGAGAUAAAUUCCUGGCGCCAGAGAGAAUUUCAGGACUUUGCCUUACAAUUGAUUUUUUUAUGCAAAUAAAGUGAGGAUGUGUGCAAGAGUAUUCAUAUGGUAUGCUGACUGAAUUGGAAAAGUCCCAACCAGCUAUUCACUGCACUGAGUGUUGGACUUACUAUUGUAGAUUGAAACGUCUAUCCCAGCUAAAAAAGAAGAUAAUUUCCUACACAGAAGGACACAUACUCCUCAAAAGAAAAAGAUGAAGGAUACAUCCCAUUUCCUU